GAUGAACGCUGGCGGCGUGCCUAAUACAUGCAAGUCGAGCGAACGGACGAGAAGCUUGCUUCUCUGAUGUUAGCGGCGGACGGGUGAGUAACACGUGGAUAACCUACCUAUAAGACUGGGAUAAAUUCGGGAAACCGGAGCUAAUACCGGAUGAUAUUUUGAACCGCAUGGUUCAAAAGUGAAAGACGGUCUUGCUGUCACUUAUAGAUGGAUCCGCGCUGCAUUAGCUAGUUGGUAAGGUAACGGCUUACCAAGGCAACGAUGCAUAGCCGACCUGAGAGGGUGAUCGGCCACACUGGAACUGGGACACGGUCCAGACUCCUACGGGAGGCAGCAGCAGGGAAUCUUCCGCAAUGGGCGAAAGCCUGACGGAGCAACGCCGCGUGAGUGAUGAAGGUCUUCGGAUCGUAAAACUCUGUUAUUAGGGAAGAACAUAUGUGUAAGUAACUGCGCACAUCUUGACGGUACCUAAUCAGAAAGCCACGGCUAACUACGUG
rnacentral:rRNA from 1 species